CGACUGACUGCAAGACCUGCAUGUAGCUAUUGUAGCAACACGCUUGUCAUCUUGUCAUCAUGUGAAUCAUACAUGAUGUGUAUGAUAAUAGAACAAUGAACCCGGGAAGGACGAACCGUCUAUUGUGUGUGUUGGUGUUAUAUAAUGGGGGCGUGAGUUGUGCCUCACGUCUCAUAACAUUCUCUAGAUUGAAUACACGUUACUAUGGACAGACAAGGACUUCUUACCUGUAUCAUCCACAUCAUAUUGGUUGUCAUGGUUCCCAUAAAAGCCUUGAAAAUGAGCGAAUCCUGCUUUACUCACCAGUUGACCAAAGUAUGCUCCCGUCAUCGACUCAAGUGUGAUCGUGAUGCUAAAAUUAGAAUCAAUGAAACAUUUUAUGUUGCUAAAAGUGAUAGAUUAGAGUGUUCGAUUAUAACGCCCAACUGCACCUCUGACACAUAUCUAUCAAACUGCUGCAAAUUCGCACCCGGAGAUGUAAAUCGUCAUGUCUUCAACACCACGGAUAGGGAGAUUAUCAAAACUCUUUGUUCUGAUAAGCCGAACUGUGAGUUUCCUGCUCCACGUACCCAAAGUCUAAUUUUCUCUGUGGUUACGUACGAAUGUAUUCAAGGCGAAACCACAGGAAUUGCUGUCGGCGUUGGCAUCGCUGUUGCAGUGGUCACCAUUUAUGGAAUCUUAAUCGUCAUCCUGUGCUAUUUAAAAAGGCGAAGCAAACAGUCACCCCAACAGAACAGAAGAAGGUUGAACACUGCCCUAGCGCCUCUCUACCAUGAAGUGAUGGGCUCACAGCCACUUCCUCGUCAGACCGCCAGUUAUGAGUACGCCACUAUUGAGGAUAUACACGGAGGAAGAGGACCGGAUCCAAAGCCAGUUGUGGGAGGAUAUGAUCACUUGGGGGUCGUGCCCCGGGGGGUCGAUGGGGGACUGGGGGUACACUAUGACUCCGCAGCAUGUGCUAUGCCAGUCUGUCAGCAGGAGAAAGCGGAUGGCGAGAGAGCCAGGUCAGGAAGUAACCUAUACAAUCAUCUGAGUGUCAAGCCGCAGAAGUCAAAGGUCCUACACAACCAGUAUGAUGUUGCUAUGCAAAAGUCACAGAAAUGAAUUCCAUCUGAUCUUGAAUUUAACCGCGUUAGUCCGGACUCUUGCUCUCAGGACGAGUGUGAUAUUUCUUAGGAAAGUUUCCGAACUUUACUGAAAUGAAUAUAACUGCGUAACGCUAUCGUUUUACCUCGUUCAUAUCGACGUUUCCAUUUGGAAGCAUACGGAUUAAUAGAGUUACUUCAAUAGGUAGCAGAAAAAAAGGACAACGUUAAAUUCGGUGCUGUUCAGUGUUUAAAACACUCGAUUUUCUCCUAAAACGAAAUAAUUGCGUGAUCCGUAUGAAACGUCGUGCUCAGUUUGUUCACCGCUUGAAUGUAACAAGAGGAAUUGUCCGGAAUGUGGCAAUUCACGUCUCUGUUAUCAGCGCAUAUAGCUAUUGUUGCCGUCUCUAGUCUACAAAUGUCAUCUCUGUCUUCAGCGAGUGUUUUAAUGUCAUCAGAGAAUGACAUAUUACAUCGGUCGAAGGGUGAGUGAGUGAGUGUGGUUUUACGCCGCUUUUAGCAAUAUUACUGUAACACAAAAGCGGGGGACACCAGAAAUGGGCUUCACGCAUUGUACCCAUGGUCUUCAGAGUGACGAGCGGACGCUUUAACAAUUAAGCCCCACCAGUCAAAGAAAGAGUUACACGUGAAAGCAACUUUUUCUCUUUGGGCGUACACAUUGUAAUACUUAUAUGUAAUCAACAGUACUGAAUCAACAGCAUUCAAUCCGUAACUAUCCAUUAAGCAAUUCCUAUUAUAAUUGUAUUUAUUAAUUGCUGCGGUGAAAGACUUACAUUACGGAAAGAGUAAGACCACAGAAUCAUUGUAACACUUCUAUGUGAAGAAGAUGAUCUGUUUCAGGUAUUUAUAUGAUGGGAAUGGAAGGGAAAAAGAGAAAUAAAUUUUGUAAUAGUUGCCUUUAUCUGAUUGCUCUUGUAUUGGAUAUAAAAAUAGAGGCUAACACAUGACAGUUGAGUACAGGUCAACAGAUAACAGAGACACGCUGACAUUUUUGCCACGGUCAGGCAGCAAAAUGGUGACGAUAUACAUUCUUGUAAUACUUUCAUUUCUCUUAUUAGUCACGACAGUUGCAGGUAAGUGGUAAAGGAAAUUAUGAACCCUUAAAUGUCUGACAAUCGCCUAUACAUAACCUGAUAGUCAGGUGGGAGUGGUACCUUCCUCCUAAUGGUUAGGUUGUGUACCUUCCCCCCUGUACAAUGGUGAAACAUCCUGAUUGAUCAGUAAUACAGCGAUAUUUCAUGACGGCAUGUAAUAUGGAGUUUGGGUCGGUGAGUUUGUAAUGACAUGUAGAAUGACAGCUCAUUAAGAAUUGAUAAAGGGCUAUCAUCUGACCAUCCGAUGCUGUUUAAUCGCUUGUUACUUUGAGCAAUAGAGUACCGGUUGUUUAAACCCGUCUUAGUCCCAACGGGAACAAAAGUCUCAGCUGAAUCUUUGGUUAACCCUGAUUGUUUGAUGGAUACUUUAGUUUGCAUGGUAAAGCGAAGAAACGCUUCACUUUAACUCAAACACUCACUGUAAAAUUUGGAGUGAAGGUUUGUUAUACACAUCACUAUUCGCCUUAUGUUAAAAUAAAUUUUAAUAAAUU
rnacentral:misc_RNA from 1 species